GGGACGCCGAGGGGAGGAGGAGGAGGCGGCUCGGAUGGCUGGCUCGGCUCUCGCUCGCUCUCCCUCCCAUGGGCAAGUCCGGCUCACACCCUGCUUCUCCCGCUCACUCACAGCCCCCUUGGCUCUCCCUCCUCCUCCUCCUUCCCCUGCGGGAUCCGCUCGCCGCCGCCGCCGCCGCCGCAGACGGCAAGUCGUGGCAGCCAGACGUCGGCGCGUAACCCGGCGCUCCGUGCGUGACUCCAGGCGACGUCAGCGCGCGCUCCGCGUUCCCCACCCCUCCUCCCAACUCCGUGGCUCGCGCCCUUCGCUCUCGCGUCCCUCCGUUUUAGCUGCCGCCGCGGCGGCCGCCGAGCGCGCUCUUUCCGCCCCCUUCUCGCGCGUGAGCGCGCCCUAUCGGCUCCUGGCGCGUCAACAUUCCGCGGGCCAGGCCUUGGGGCGCGUCUGAGGAGGGGGAUGUCUGUGGCCUCUCCGCCCACACUUCCUCCACCCACCGCCCACAGCGCCCCAGAAGGACCUAUUACUCGUUUGGCUUCUGAAGGCCGAAGCCAGGCUCUGGCGGGGAUAGAACCCUGAAGGGCCUGCGCCAGCUCCAACUUAGGGCCCUGUGCGUCGUUGCGACUUCUGCUACCACCCUAUCACGCGGCACCCCCGCCCCAACUCCGCCCGGGUCUCUGAAGAGGCAAUAGGCCUUUCAUCUCCGGGGAAAGUCUCACCUUGGCCCUCAGACACCCGCCAAGAGGGGUCGGAAGGACAGAAUUAGCAUAGAGAAGAGUGGCUAGAGCACUUUUCAGGCUCUGGCCCCAGGAAUCCUUGACAGGAAGCGUGGGGUUGCUGCCCAGCCUCCCACGCAGUGUAAUAUGUUGAAGCCGGGCCCCUUUGAGGGAAUGCGACUUCCUUGGGCCGAGGGGGAAAGGGCAGUGCCUGAUGGCUGAGAAGAAUCGCAGAGGACUAGAAAAGGUUUGAGUCUGAAAUUAUCUGGCACAGAGGAUUAAAGCUCAGAAAUAAGUGAUUGCGAAACAGUUCAACUUCCCUGUUAAUGACAACAACAACAGCAACACGCUUAUUAAUUCCUAGCUGGAGCAUCAAGCUUAUGAAGAUUUCCAAGACUUUAUUGUUGACCCUUGUUGAAGAGAACUCUACUUGGCUUCUUUCCUGGCUUUCCUAAAUUGUUCACAUACAAGAUAAACUACCGUCAUUCAGACUUACAGAAGUGAGAAGACAAGCUGAACCAAAUGUAAAAUGGUAGCAAUUUACAGAUGUCAGAACUAACAUGUGGAUGAACUUAGAGAUGGAGAAGAAAGCUGGGCUUUUCCAAAGAGUGGAUCUAUCUGAACUGGAUAGCACUAUUGAACUUUGUUGCAUAUUUUGUGGUAGCUCUAAAACUCCUCUGCUUGCUUACAUACAACCAGACACCAGUGCCUUCUGAAGCUAAUCCAGGCCAUUUUUAUAACCUAAUGCAGUAGCACUUUGCAAUUAGAUGAAGAAGAUCGGUGGGAUUUCUUUCUGUGGUGAUUAAAAUGUGUCAGGGGAAGAAAUCAAGACAAUACUCCAAGUGAAAAAUAUAAAGUCAGUUAUUUCUUUAAUAUUUUGUGUUAUAGUAAUCAUUUUUAUAUUUUGAGCAUACUUUUUCUUGUCUACUUAAAUACUCAAAAUUAAUUAUAAAAUGUAAAUGUAAGCACAAUGAGAUACCAUCUCAUCCCAGUUAAAAUGGCUUUUAUCAAAAAGAUAGGGAAUAAUGAAUACUGGUGGAAGGAUGUGGAGAAUGGGGAACCCUCGUACACUGUCAAUGAGAAUGUAAAUUAGUACAGCCACUAUGGAAAACUGUAUGGAAGUGCCUCCGAAAACAAAGUAGAACUACCAUGUGAUCCAGCAAUUACACUAGUGGGUAUAUAUUCAAAAGAAAGGAAAUCAACAUAUUAAAGAGAUAGCUGCAUUCUCAUGUUUAUUGAAGUCCUGUUGAAAUAGCCAAAAUAUGGAAUCAACCUAAGUGCCCAUCAGUGGAUGAAUGGUUAAAGAAAAUGUGAUUGAUAUGCAAUGGAAUAUUAUUCAGCCAUAAAAAAGAAUGAAAUCCUGGCGGGGCACAGUGGCUCAUGCAAGUAAUCCCAGCACUGACCUCAUGAAGACAGAGAGUAGAUUGGUGGUUACCAGAGGUUGAGAAGGGGAGAGGAGAGGAGGGAUGAAGAGAGGUUGAUUGAUGGAUAGAAAUAUACAGUUUGAUAAUGAUAAAUCAGUAGGGUGACUAUAGUUUAUAAUAACCUAUUGUAUGGUUCAAAAUAGCUAAAAGAGAAUAAUUGAAAUAACGUAAGACAAAAAUUUAAGAUGAUAGAUAUCCCAAUUACACUGAUUUGAUCUUUACAAAUUAUAUGAAUGUAUUAAAUUAUUACAUGUAUCCCCAAAAUAUGUACAAGUAUUUUGUAUCAAUAAAAAAUAAAAUUUAAGAUAAAGUAAAUGUAAUGAUUAGCUUAUAUUUCCUAGAUCGGAAAUAAAUAUUUACUUAAGUAAAAAAAAAAAAAAAA
rnacentral:lncRNA from 1 species